UAGAGUUGUAAAACUCCCAAAACCCAUGUGAACAUACCUCUGUUGCCUCGGUGGCCUACCCGGUAGUUACCCUGUAGUUACCCUGUAGUACGCCGAUGGACCACUAAACUCUGUUUUUUUAAUAUCUCUGAGUCAACUAUAAAUAAGUUA
rnacentral:misc_RNA from 1 species